UAUGACCGUAUCAGGUUGAAACCGUUCUCACACGAUCACCGACGUUAAGCAACGUCGAGCCUGGUGAAUACCUAGAUGGGUCACCGCUUGGGAAUACCACGUGCUGCAGU